GAUUUACCUUUUGAUAGCAGGAACCAGAAGAACUACCCUGCCGCUGCUGUUAAUGAAAUAUCUACUGGUAAAUUAGAAAAGUUAUUGAUCAAGCAAUACAAUCAUGACUUCAAUGAAAAGUACCAGUAAGGAAUCAGAAGAAAUGGCCAGGGAAGAGGUAAAGUUAUUGGAUAUUAUGAACUGCUCAGUAAAGAUGAUAGAUGGACACUAUUGUCUGGACUU